GACGUAGGAGGCGAGCGUUAUCCGGAUUCACUGGGCGUAAAGCGCAUGUAGGCGGUUGGACAAGUCGUGUGUUAAAGCCCCUGGCUCAACUGGGGGAGGUCAUGCGAGACUGUGCGACUUGAGGGCAAGAGAGGCACGUGGAAUUCCCAGUGUAGUGGUGAAAUACGUAGAGAUUGGGAAGAACACCAGUGGCGAAGGCGGCUAUCUGGACGGUUUCUGACGCUAAGACGCGAAAGCGUGGGGAGCAAACAGG
rnacentral:rRNA from 1 species